rnacentral:ncRNA from 1 species
AAUAGAGAGAUGAAAGUCGGAGUACUUCUUUACCAAUAGUUCAAGAGAGCCUAUAUUGCUGCGAGUAGGUACUAUGUGAAGAAGGAAUUGGAGACUUUUGUUACAUAUUUUUCUAUGUUGACUAGGCAUUAACUAGCGAAACAAGUGAUCACAGAAAUUGUGAUAACAAGGGUGGCACCGCGGUUCAUUCGUCCCUUAA